GUUCAUGGAGACAGAUUAAAAGGGAACCGGGUGGAAAUCCCGGACAGUCCACGCUGCUGUAAAACUUCAGUAACAUCCCGAUAACACCUUUUGCCACUGGCGGAGAGACAGCCUCGCCGGGAAGGCUUUCGGGAUGGAAGUAAGUCAGAAGACCUGCCAUUUUUC
rnacentral:ncRNA from 1 species